AUACAGAGGGUGCAAGCGUUAAUCGGAUUUACUGGGCGUAAAGCGCGCGUAGGCGGCUAAUUAAGUCAAAUGUGAAAUCCCCGAGCUUAACUUGGGAAUUGCAUUCGAUACUGGUUAGCUAGAGUGUGGGAGAGGAUGGUAGAAUUCCAGGUGUAGCGGUGAAAUGCGUAGAGAUCUGGAGGAAUACCGAUGGCGAAGGCAGCCAUCUGGCCUAACACUGACGCUGAGGUGCGAAAGCAUGGGGAGCAAACAGGAGUAGAUACCCUUGUAGUCC
rnacentral:rRNA from 1 species